UAUACAUAAUCUAUACUUAAUAUGGGCUGGACACAGUGACUUACUUCUAAUGAGCAGAUUAUGGUAAAAGCAAUGAUCUUUCACUUCAAAGAUUAGGGAACAAAAAAAACUUUGACUUCUCUUUUGCUCUCUCACUUGCUUGCUAGAAUGAAACGCGACUUCCAUAUUGUGUCCUAACCUGUGGAGAAGUCCAUGCGGCAAGGAACUGAGAGAUGGGGCUCUUGCUGUAUUGCUCAGGCUGGUCUUGAACUUCUGGACUCAAGCAAUCCCCCACCCCAGCCUCCCCAGGUGCUGGGAUUAAAGGCAGGGAUGACAUUAUUCAAGACUGUUGUAAUAGUGUUCAAGACUGCUGCAAUAGGAGAAAGAACGUGAACUCAACUCUGCUGAUGCAAAUGGUGG
ensembl:lncRNA